rnacentral:tRNA from 1 species
AGUGAAGUCAGCUAAUUAAGCUCUCGGGCCCAUACCCCGAAAACGUUGGUCAUAAACCCUCCUUCACUA